CCUACGGGUGGCAGCAGUGAGGAAUAUUGGUCAAUGGGCGCGAGCCUGAACCAGCCAAGUAGCGUGAAGGAUGACUGCCCUACGGGUUGUAAACUUCUUUUAUAAAGGAAUAAAGUGAGGCACGUGUGCCUUUUUGUAUGUACUUUAUGAAUAAGGAUCGGCUAACUCCGUGCCAUCAGCCGCGGUAAUAGGGGGGAUCCGACCGUUAUCCGGAUUUAUUGUGUUUAAAGGGAGGGUAGCUGGGUUGUUAAGUCAGCGGGAAAAGCCCGGGGCUAAACCCCGGCGAGCCGUUGAAACUGGCGAGCUGGAGUUGGAGAGAGGUACGCGGAAUGCGAGGUGUAGCGGUGAAAUGCGUAGAUAUCGCGCAGAACCCCGAUUGCGAAGGCAGCGUACCGGCUCCACACUGACGCUGAGGCACGAAAGCGUGGGUAUCGAACAGGAUUAGAUACCCCUGUAGUC
rnacentral:rRNA from 1 species